rnacentral:rRNA from 1 species
GGCUCAGACGAACGCUGGCGGCAGGCUUAACACAUGCAAGUCGAGCGAUCGCAGCAAUGCGGGAGCGGCAGACGGGUGAGUAACGCGUGGGAACGUACCCUCCGGUUCGGAAUAACUCAGGGAAACUUGAGCUAAUACCGGAUACGGCUUAGCGGCGAAAGAUUUAUCGCCGGAGGAUCGGCCCGCGUUCGAUUAGCUAGUUGGUGAGGUAACGGCUCACCAAGGCGACGAUCGAUAGCUGGUCUGAGAGGAUGAUCAGCCACAUUGGGACUGAGACACGGCCCAAACUCCUACGGGAGGCAGCAGUGGGGAAUAUUGGACAAUGGGCGCAAGCCUGAUCCCAGCCAUGCCGCGUGAGUGAUGACGGCCUUAGGGUUGUAAAGCUCUUUCGCUAGGGACGAUAAUGACGGUACCUAGAUAAGAAGCCCCGGCUAACUUCGUGCCAGCCGCAGC